AUAUAUAUAUAUAUAUAUAUAUAUAUAUAUAUAUAUAUAUAUAUAUAUAUAUAUAUAUAUAUAUAUAUACCUAUCUGUAUCUGUCUAUCAAUCUAUCCAUCCAUUUAUCUAUAUCUAUCUUUCUACCUACUUACCUUCCUACCUACCUAUCCAUUUAUCUAUCUAUCUCUAACCAUCCCCUAUCUCUCUGACCUAAUCUGACCCAUCCCAAGUGUGACAGAAGGGCAAAUCAACACGUGGCUCUGUUGCUGCAAUCUUUCCAUAGUUUUGUUGAAUUUGGGGAAUGAGGAGCAUGACAAGGUAGUCUUUUCCUGAACUGUGGUCGUUCUUGUGAUGUUACUGGGCCCUGGGCCACCUCCAGAUAUUCUUUACUGAGGCAGGGAUAGAGAGAAUUAUUCCAGAGGUCCUAACGGUUCACAAUAUGCAAGAAUUUUGUGUGAUUUUUUCUUCAUAAAAUGUUCAUCUCAUUUUUGAAGUACCCAAGUUGUGAUUUUAUUUGGUUUCUUAAUAAAGAUGAGACAAAAAGAGGUUUAGAAAGGUAUUGCUAAAUUAUGGCAUCUUCAUAUAAGUUUAUUCUAUCUAUCCAUCUAUCUCUGUACCAGGCUGGCAAUCCCUCACGGGGUAGCCCAGAUAAAGAACUAUGCACUCACAUUCACACACAUCAUCCACACUCUUUGGUCAGCCUCUGGUAGAAAGAGUCUCGUGGCCCUCCCUGCUACACCCCAGAGCGUUUGUGUAAAAAGUUCUGAAGUUCAUGUGGAUGAUUUUAGCUUCAUUCUUCACGUGCGGCAGUUACAGUCAUUAUGUUGUGAAUUACUCCAACAAGCAAUCAGUUCAUGUUGUUAGGUUCAUAUUUAGACUGAUACGAGAGGCAGUGAUGUUCAUAAGACCAUUUGUACGUGAAUAACCACAAGUUCAGGAAAUUCGUGUUUUUUUCUUCCUGAAACUAGCAAUUCUUCAGUCUUGAUCAGUCUAAAACAACUGCGUAGAUCAAUCCAUGCAUUUCCAUCCUUGAUUCUCACAGAUUUGCGUAUAUUUGAUAUGGAAUUUCACUUAUUCAACUGUAAUAAGCUGUAGAUGUCUUGAUUACCGACCGAAAGAGCUAUUUUCUUCAUUAUCCUCCUUAUCAACGUAAGACAACAAUUAAACUCAGUCCAUACCCUUCCAUCCUUGAUUCUCGCAGAUUUGUGUAUAAUUUGGUAUGAAAUUUCACUUGUAGAAAUGUAGUAAGCUAUACAUGUGUUAAUCACUAUAACUGAACGAGCGUGACUUCACAAGAUUCGAGCAGACCACGUAAACAAGCACAUUCUGAAACCUUUCUGCGCCGCACCUCCACCGCUUUCAAAAGGCUCUAUUUAAGUGAUGCAAGUUUUUAUUUAUUUUUUUUUAACGGUUCUAGUGACAGAUUAACACGAUUUCUAUAUAAUUAAUAGGAUAAACUUUCUUAUGAGCCCGGCUAAUCAUCUCUGUGGCCUUGGAAAACAGUCGUGGUGAUCGAAAGGCCAAAGCGUUUCAGAAUACACGCCUUGUAAGUGGAAGCGAAUCUAUUUCAUCUAAGACAAGUAUCCCCGUACACUCACAUCGAUCUCUUACAAAAUAACAUCCUUCUCGCGGAAGAUUUCGCACUACAGAAACUUACAGAUGUGCGGUGAAUCGUAGAGGUGCUGUAAGUGAAGCAGUUUAGAUGAGACUCGAGCCAAAUGAACCUCGGGUAGAGAGAGGAGGAAGCAGGAUGGCCGGGACGCCGGCUCGGUUCCCUUCCAGAGACUGGCGUGGGAAGACGCACUCUUCUGGGCGUUCUGAGUAACCGUUCUCGAGGUUGUGUGGACGUCCACGUGACUGCUGGGAGAGGGCGUGGCAUCACCCAGCGUCCCCCUUGAGAUUCAUUUGUAAACGACUCCUUCACCUGGCUCUACUUGAACUAACUAUGGUGUGCCUCCCUGGGACGGCGAACGAGCUGCGGAGAUCUCGGCUGUCUGGAGCGGGCGGCGUGUCACAUGCUGCUCACCACACCCCUUCCUUUCACCUCGUGGAAUGUUGGUCUCGGAGUAAGCGGUUCCAUGUGGCUUAACAAGUGGUGGGCGUGGGGAGUGAUCCCGACGCGGCGCUGAGGGUGAGGUCACGUUGGGCUCCUCUUACUCGGGACAAGGCACUCCUCCACGCACAGGGCUGGUCACGCCGUCCGCUUGUGUCAGAUGAAAAAUACUAGGUGAGGGAGGACAGAUGACCGAAGAAGAAACGAAGACUUGAGUGAGGAGAGAAGAGGACCGGGAAAGACAGCAAGAACUACUACUACCGAGCGAAGAAGAGGACCGAAGUACAAACAAACCGCAUCUACGCUUUAGGCCACGUUUGUUUUAACAGACAGGAGUGGCAUUUUAUUAUUGUAUAAGGAGUACGAGUGUGGUGUUUUAUUAUUUUGUGUUAUAUACACGCCAUUCAAUUAUAUCGAUGGUGCAGUUCACCUCCAGAGGCACCUUAAUUCUAUAUGCACAAUAGUCCGGGAGUAAGUAUCUUCGUUCAACGCCGCUGCCAUGUCCCGGGAAGAAAGAAGUGUCUCUCGUUCAGUACCUCACUUUUCUAAGUCAUAAGUGAGAAGCAGCCGGCAGUAAGGAUGCGUCCAUCUGGAAACAAAUAUAUAAUAUAUAAUAAGCUAACAUAGAACUCGCUGACGGAGGUUGUCAUAAGUUAGACUGAACAAGCAACUAAACCAGGUGAAGUCUGUGAAAAUCCAGUUUCUUACUAUCACUGCAGAACGCGCCUUAAAUAGCCACCACAAUCUUCCCUUACCGUUUAGGCAGGUCCCCGCCACUCCGUCCACCUGCAAAAAUAAUGAUAGGAGUCAGUCUACCUUCACUGACCAAAUAGUUUUAGUAAAUAAAACUCACUUUUAGACACUACUACUCCUACCUUCACUGACCAAAUAGUUUUAGUAAAUAAAACUCACUUUUAGACA